rnacentral:rRNA from 1 species
CAAAAACAUGUCCUUAAGUUUAUUUUUUAAGGUUUGACCUGCUCAAUGAUUUUUAUUUAAUGGCCGCAGUAUAUUAACUGUGCUAAGGUAGCAUAAUCAAUUGUCUUUUAAUUGAAGGCUAGCAUGAAGGGUUGGACGAAAUAUUAGCUUUCUUUUUAUUAAAGUUUAAAUUUAAUUUGCUGGUUAAAAAGCUAGCAUUAUUUUAAGGGACGAGAAGACCCUAUAGAUCUUUAUAUAUCGUGAUUUAUAUUAUUUUUGUUUAUAUUUUAUUUAUGUUUCUAUUUAUUUGAUUGGGGUGAUCUUAGAAUUUUAUUAACUUUUUUUUGUUAUUAUUCAUAAAUUAGUGUAAAUUUGAUCCAUUAUUAUUGAUUAUAAGAUUAAGUUACCUUAGGGAUAACAGCGUUAUUUUUUUGGAGAGUUCAUAUUGAUAAAAAAGUUUGCGACCUCGAUGUUGGAUUAAAAUAAAUAUUAGAUGCAGGAGUUUAAUAAUUAGGUCUGUUCGACCUUUGAAAUUUUACAUGAUCUGAGUUCA